rnacentral:rRNA from 1 species
AUACUUAUUAAAUUCUACAAAUAGAAAUAAUAAAAAAUAUUUACAUACAUGGAAAUCAAAAAAGUUUUUAGGUUAAUUUAUUUUACCUUUGGUAUAAUGGUUAUACAAUAAAUAUAUUAUAUUAUAGUUCCCGAAUUGAGAAGAGCUAUUUAUCAGCUUGUGUUAGAAUAGAAAAGUUAUGUUGAAAUAUGGCUUAUAGACUGAUAAAUAGGAGCGAAAAACUUUCAAUUCUCAGGAUACCUGGUAGUUCUAGAAAAGCAUUUAGUGCUGUAAAGUUAAAUACAAAGUGAUGAAAUUUUGUACCAAUAGAAUUUUAAAUUUUCUUGUUUCUUUUUAGAGUUAAACCUACUGAAAUUUUAAAUUAUAAACAUUAUUUUUUUAAUUUAUCUAUAAAAUAUAGAACUUUCCUAAUUAAUUAUAAAUUAGGAUUAAUUAUGUGUAAAUGAGUAGUAAAAUAAAGUAUUUAAUGACUAUUAUAUGUUUAAUAUGACAAUUAUAAUAUUUUUACAAAUAAUUAAAAGGAAUUCGGCAAAAAUAAACUUCGACUGUUUAACAAAAACAUAGCCUUAAGAAAAUUAUUUAAGGUUAAACCUGCCCAAUGUAUAAUAUGAUGAAUGGCCGCGGUACUUUGACCGUGCUAAGGUAGCGCAAUCAAUUGGCUUUUAAUUGGAGCCAGGUAUGAAUGGAGUUACGGAGUUUAGCUGUCUCUUAAUUAUUUUAUCGAAAUUACUAUGUAGGUGAAAAAGCCUACUAUUAGAAAAAGGACGAGAAGACCCUUAGAGUUUUUCCAAAAUUGGAUAUAUAUUUAGUUUCCAAAGCAGUUUAGUUGGGGCAACAUAGGAGCAACAAUAACAAAUUAAAUCUCCUAAAAAUAACAAAUCGAUUAUUUUAGAUAUGAAUAAACUACCUUAGGGAUAACAGCAUAAUUUUAUAAAUAAGUUUGUGACCUCGAUGUUGGACUAGGAAACCAAAGGGCUAGCCGCCUUUUGGGUAAGUUCUGUUCGAACUAUUAAUUCCU